ensembl:lincRNA
UGCAGGGGGGACAUUGGUAGCUGUUAAUCAUAGUGUCCGUAUUUUUUCAGAGUUAGAGUGCCAUCUGCUUACUUAAAAAGAAUCUAUGGAACAUAAGCUAUGUGAUAAGUACAUGGAAUAAAGAGGUAAGUAUGACAAAGGUUUGUGUAUAUGAAAUUAAGAGUCUAGAAGUACAAACAGAUAUAAAA